rnacentral:lncRNA from 1 species
CGUCCACCGAACGCUGUGAUACCGGGGUGUGAGUGUAUGUCGGAUAAGAUCAGACUGUGUUGUCUCCUGAGGGAUUGUUUUAUGGAUACCCAGCACUCCUGUACAUUUAAAUAGAAUGCAAACAAAAAAAAAACCAAAACAUUGCAAAAAAUGAGAAAAACAUUGCACAUUUAAAGCCUAAACAUGGUCAGUUGUCGUCACAGCAGCCUUUUCUCCCUGUUUCUCCGUGGUCGUCCGCGAGAUGCGAGUUUCUCCUCAGUGCGGUGUGAAUAUGGUCUUUCUGAAUUUCCCACUCUCUUUCCUACAGCCAUCUCUUACGCACCCGCUGGGCCUUACCCAGCCCCUCCCACAGUAGCUGCGAUGGUGCCCCCCCCUCCGGGAGAGAUAGGGUUCAAGGUGUCAGAACAGCUCCCUCCAGUGGACAGCGAAGCUCCGGCCCCGUGCGAGACGAGUGUGCCUGUGGGCUGCGUGGAGCUGGUGGUGAGCGCCUUCGACGACAAGAACGUCCGCAGGGCCUUCAUCAGAAAGGUGAGCCGCCUCUCCACCUAUCCUCUUCCUCAGAGCCACGCCGAAGUGAUGUCACUUCCUCUCUCCUUGAGCGGUGUGAGAAUCACCUCCUUCUCUUUCCCAAACACCUGACUGACCCGCUGAGUGCCCAGCCUGGCGCUGAUGUGUCUCUUGAAUGUUCAUGCUUUCUGUCCAAGUGUUCAGUGUGCUGAAAGUCUCUCUUUCUGCAGGUGUUCAGUGUGCUGGCUGUCUGUCUCUCUGUACAGGUGUUCUGUGGGCUGACUGUGCUGUAUCUCUCUCUGACUCCAGGUGAUCAGUGUGCUGACUGUGCUGUAUCUCUCUCUGACUCCAGGUGAUCAGUGUGCUGACUGCGUUGUAUCUCUCUCUGACUCCAGGUGUUCUGUGUGCUGACUGUGCUGUAUCUCUCUUUGACUCCAGGUGUUCUGUGUGCUGUAUCUCUCUCUGACUCCAGGUGAUCAGUGUGCUGACUGUGUUGUAUCUCUCUCCGACUCCAGGCGAUCAGUGUGCUGACUGUGCUGUA